UGGGAAAUAGCACAACUGGUAGAGCACAGGACUUGUGUGCCUGAGAUUCCUGGUUUGACCCCUGGCAUCGCAU
rnacentral:tRNA from 1 species